GAACAUCAUCUACCAAUCAUAAUAACCCACAAAUGGCACAAUCAAUCUCAACUACUAUGGUCAAUGAAGAAUCUCAACCACCUCAACCUCUUCUAGAUCAAGGUUUGUUUCUAAAAUUGUAUGUUUGUUUCUUGUGUUCAUCUAAAUUUAGCAUAUGUUUAAUUAAUUUUCUAAAUGGGACAACUUUAUGCUAUUGUUGGAGCUUGUCCAUUUUUGGGGAAAAAUUGGAACAACUUUUUUUAACCUAAUUUCCCAAAAAAAAAAAAAAUGGUGUGAACCCUUUAAAAAUAGUCAUGAUAAUCUGGAAUUUAGUCAUGAGGUAAAUAAGAUUUAAUCAAAAUAUUGUUUCAAUCAUGAUUUAAACUUGAAUUUUCUUGAAAUAUUCGUUCUUAUUUUGAGUUAUUCGUUUUACAUUAUACCCAUUAAAGUUGAACUAUGAGCUAACUAUUUAUACUUGUUGCUUUCAAAGCAAUAUGUUUCUUUUGUUAUGGAUAAAAUACAUUUUUUUUCCUUCAAGUAGUCUAGUGAUUAGAAAUUCAACGUUUUAAGAUGAAUAAGUGGGGGUAUUUGAAGUUCGAACCCCGACUUCUGCAUAUAUUAUGUAAUAUCCUUACCAACUGAGUUAAGCUUACGAGGAUGACAAUUAAGUAUAUGUUAGUCUUAUAAUAAAUGAAAAUGUGCUUAAAAAGCUAAGCAAAUAUAUUAAAAAUCAACAAAAGUUCCACCAAUACAAGACGUAUCAAAGGAAGAUAAAAUGUUCACAUGUUACAAUAACUCAGACAAGCUACUACACAGUAGGCGAAAGAAAAUAAAAAAUUUGUAUGUUGCUCAAUCCCUCUCUCCAUAGUCAAAGUCAUUUUUUAAAAGAAGGAAUAUUUCAAAAAAUUAUAAUUAAGUCAAGUAAGCUAAUUAUUUGUUGGUUCGUUAAUUAUCUUAUUAGAAGGCAUGCGCAAAAUAAAAUAGAAAAAUAUAGCACCGAUGAGACUGACAUGUACACUUUGAAGGGGAACAUGUGGAAACUUUGACUAGUAAUAAACAUUAUACAUACCGAUUAAUCUUGUAUUUUGCUUCUACGGUAAAGUUAAAUAUUUAAAAAAAAAAUAAUACGAUGAUGACUAAAGUAAAAAUAAUGUCAUAAUUUAAACUCCCUCCGGUCUUGAAUGUAAGAAACAAAAAAAAAAAUCACACAUAUUAAGAAAGUGGAUUGAGUCAUUGUAAAAAAUACCAUUUUUCCUGUUAUGCCCUUGUCUUGGAAAUAUGACUUUUGAACUCCACUAAUGAAAAAUCUUUGGAAUGCGUUAAACAUGAGAAUGUGAAACAAAUUGGAUAAAGUAAAUGAGGUUAAAAUUGGAAUAGUAACAUUUAAUAGGAUGAUUUUUGUAUACUUUUGCUUACAUUUGAGACCAACAAUUUUUUUGUUUUGUUUCUUACAUUCGAGACCGGAGGGAGUAUAUAAUCACAUUCACUAUUUCCAACAAAUUUUUUUUUUUUUUUUAUCACAAAGGCAUAACGAAUCAUUUAUUACCAUUAGACUCAUGUUUAGUGGAGAACAUGAGUGACGUGGAAGUAAAUAUAAUGGUCUAUUAAUUAUUUUUUGUGUGUCUUUAUCUCUCCAAAUGGUAGAAAUGGAUAAAAGGAGAGAAUUUUAACUCCGUUGUAUUACGCAUUUCACAUUCACAUAUAUGUGUAUAAUAAACAUGUCGACAUAGAUUUAUGUAAGAAAAAAAACAUUUUUUUAGUCUAAAUUCUUCUUAUAUCGUGCAUAAAGAGUUUUGUUAGUAAAGUCAUAUCAAUGAUUGUUCCAGAUACUUAUAUAAAAUAAAUAUUGACUUAGCUAGGGUUUAACUAAGUACUUCCUAUUGAUGCCACACUUUAGAAUGAAUUAAUUUGUGAUCUUUUUGCAAAACAAAUAUAAAUACGUAGAAAAACAAAUAUAACUCCAUAUAUGCAUGUAUAUGAUCUUUUUGCAAUGAAUGAAAGUAAGAAUGAAUUGAUUUGUGAUUCUCAUUUUUUCUUGUUUUGCAUGUGAUGUUAAUGAAAGAGACCAAAAAGAAACCACACUAUAGAGGAGUGAGACAGAGACCAUGGGGAAAAUGGGCAGCUGAAAUACGUGACCCAAAAAAAGCAGCUAGAGUUUGGUUAGGAACAUUUGAUACAGCUGAAGAUGCAGCUCUUGCAUAUGACAAAGCUGCACUCAAAUUCAAAGGCACAAAAGCUAAGCUUAAUUUCCCUGAAAGAGUUGUUCAAUGCAACAGUUAUAGUUCUACUGCUAAUAAUGCAAUUCAACAAAGUGAUUAUGUUUCUAAUUCUCAUGAUCAACAAGUUUUCCCAAACUUGUUUCAGUAUGCUCAGAUUCUAGAAAGUGAUGCUGAAUUCCCUUAUUAUGCUUCUCAUCUUUUCAAUCAACAACAACAAGGAGAUCGUCACCCACCGGGCGAGUAGACUCUAGAGAUUUCCUGCAAUCAGGAAAUCUCACAUUCACAUAGUUGAGAUAUCGGUGUUUGUACAAUCAAGAUCGAACGGUAAAAAAAAUACAGGUUGUAGAUUUAUAAUUCAAAAUACCAAAUUUGAAUGUAAACCUACCAAUCUUGAUCGUCAAACAGUAUUUUGAAAGAAGAAAAAAAACGGUCACGAUGUUGCGACUUGUAAAUGUCAGGAAUCCUUGAUUGCAUGGUAGCCAUCGAGAAUCUUUAUGUCAUUUAUGUCUUAUGAAAAAUGUAUUAUUGAGAAAUUGUUUCAAAUUUAAAUUUUAUAAGUGUAUUAUUAAACUAUAUAUAUAUAUAUAAUUAGAGUGAGAAUGAAUACUCUCUUUUCUUACAUCUAAUCCAUAUGAUCGGGCGACUUCACCUCUUCUAUUUUAACAUCUUUGACUUUGCAAUCUGUCUUUCAUCUAGCUCUCACAUUUUUCAAAAUAUGAUAUUGACACAUUAAAACAGUACAUGUUAGAAAGGUAUCGAUGACAACAACAUUCGACACUGAAGUCACGAUGCAAAUAUACAUAGGACUCAAAAUGGAUUUGUCCAAAAUGUACACCCUCCAAAAAUAAACAAUAAAGAAAGAGAGACAAUGAGACUUAAAAAUUUAAACUAAUCUCAUCCUCAUUACAAGCAAAUCAAACAGAGAGGCUAAGAAAAUAUGAAUAUCAGAUAGAAUAACUGAUCCAAAAAAUUGCAUGAAGUCAUUAAUGCAUAAAACCAUCCACAAUGAAAGGGUCUUGUCCUUCAAGACUUGGUACCUAAACGAUACUUCCAUUGUGGAGCAAAAAAAUAUAGUAUUUAUUGGAAAAAUAUGUUUUGUGAAGUACUCUCUCUUUCGAUCGGAUUCAUGUUUUUUAAUAUUAGCAUUGUUGAAAUUUGACUCAAAAAUGGUUUUGGAAAAAGUUCCAAAUCGUGACACGAUUUGUGGACCGUGUCACGAUUUUGCAGGGCCGUGAGCAUGGUUUUUUGAGGGUCCAAUUGUGACACAAUUUUAGGCAAUCGUGACACGAUUUUUGGCAUGCUUGACACGUUUUUAGGAUAAGGUUGAUCGUACCUUGGGUCAUACGCAUCAACCGUGUCACGAUUUGGCCAAUCGUGACACGUUUUUGACAACUGAAAACUAUUGUUUAAGUGUUUCUUUGCAUAUUUUGAAGGAGAGCUUAAAGAGGGGAAAACUUGAGAAAUCAAAGGAGGUAACUUUAGGAUUGAGUGUCUUUGACUAGGGUUCUCUUGGGGUGGGAAACAUUGUAAACACCUUAAUGGUGGACAAGGCUAGGAGUGUCAUUGUCUUGUGCCUCGGGGAUAAAAUUUUGAGGGAUGUCGCGAAGGAACCUAUUGUGGCGUCGAUGUGGUCAAAGUUGCAGUCAUUGUAUAUGACCAAAUCUUUGGCUCAUAGGCAAUUCCUUAAGCAACAACUCUCCUCAUUCAAGAUUGUGGAGUCAAAGACCGUAACAGAGCAAUUAACGGAGUUCAAUAAAAUACUUGAUGAUUUGGAGAACAUUGAGGUGAAACCUGAGGGCGAAGACAAAGCGAUACUCUUAUUGUGUGCUCUACCGAGAUCAUUUGAAUUCUAGAUAAUAUAAUUCAGAUUAUAUAAUCCAAACUAAAGAUAUUUUGAAAAGAAAAAAAAAAGCCACGUGAGAAAUAAAUAGUGUGGAAAAAAUAAUGGUAAAAAAAUAUGGUUGAAAUAAGAUGUAUAAUAUUAACAAGGCUUAAAUAUGUAUUUGAUCCUUGCAAUUAGGGGUCGUUUAAAAAUUGGUCCCUGUAAUCGUUAAUCCUGACAAUUUACCCUUGCAUUGUUUAAUCAUUUAAAAUUUUGUCCCUCUCCCCACUUAAUCACUGUCACGCCACAUGAAAUUCCAAUUUUACCCCUGGGUUUCCAAUUCUUUCUUCAAUAUUUUGUCCUCUUCUUAAGGGCAAAAUUGAAAUUUCAUGUGUGGCAGUGAUUAAGUUGGUCAAAGGACGAAAUUUUAAAUGAUUAAUAAUUGCAAGGCUAGUUUGCAAGAAUUAACGAGUACAUGACCAAUUUGCAAGGAUCAAAUAAGUAACAAUUAACAAAGGACUGUGUUCAUUUAACCUAUACGUAAAUGAACAAAGUGCAUAGUCUUGAUACAUGUGAACAAAGUGCAAGUGGUAGAUGAUUCCCAAUAAAUGAACAUCAUCAUGUGAUGGUAGUAGGUGUUGGAUUUAUGUUCCUUUGACGAGACAGAGUUGGCUGGUUUGAUACAAAAAACGUGUUUCUCUCUUACAACCCUUAUCUUCUUUUAAUCACUCACUCUCUAUAUUCUUUUUUUCUUUUUCUGCGGUGAUUCCAGAUUCUAUUAGUAGAAACAAGCUCAGGUAAUUCUCUCAAAUCAUCUCUUUAAUAGUACACUAUUUUUAUGUUAUUUUUAAUUUUUGUUUCCUUUGCUUCAAUCCAUAUGCUAAUAAUUUUCAAUUUCAAGCUAUUUGCACUUUUUCUAGUGUUACUCAAUCUUAUUUAGAGCAAAAACCAAUACACAUAAUAGUAAUACAGAGUUAACUUAGAAGUUAGGACCAAAGAUCUUUCCACCCAUAAUUCAAACUCAUGUUCAUUUAUAUGAUUCAUUCUUAAUUGAAGUUCAUUAACUACUUGAGCUUAAUCACUUGGUUGAACACGGUGUUUAUUAGAUACAAUGAACUAAGAGCACAUGAUAUAUUAGAAAAAUUCAUGCUUUAAUUUUAAUAUUAUAUGAAGUUUAAUAGUUGGAAUGUGAUUAUGCAAGAAUUAUCUAAUUGGGUAAGCAACCAGAGAAAUCAUUCGGACUCUCUGCACUUUUAGCGAUGACGAAAUUUACAAGUGACAAAUUGUUUAGUUACUGUAUGUUACAAGUGUGUGUGCAUAGUUCUUGUUUCAUUUUGCUUAACAGAAGAUAACAUAUUUAUAUAUAUCUUGCAGUGAGCCUCUCUGGCUUUGACCACAAUAUCAUGGCAGAGCUGAUUGCUGGAGCAUUUCUUUCGUCGUUCUUUCAAGUCACUCUUGAGAGGUUUGCCUCAAGAGAUUUCAAAGAUCUCUUCAAUAAAGGGUUGGUUGAAAAACUUGAAAUCACAAUGAAUUCUAUCAAUCAAUUGUUGGAUGAUGCAGAGACAAAACAGUACCAAAACCCAAACGUGAAGAUUUGGCUUGAUCGUCUAAAACAUGAGGUAUAUGAAGUAGAUCAAUUGUUGGAUGAGAUUGCUACAAACUCACAACGAAAGAUCAAGGUGCAACGCAUCCUUUCAACUUUGACUAAUCGAUAUGAACCUAGGAUCAAUGAUUUGCUCGACAAACUAAAAUUUCUCGUAGAGCAAAAGGAUGUGUUGGGAUUGACAGGUAGUGGAAGUUGCAGUAGUUUUGAAGGUGCAGUUAGCCAGCAAUCCUCAAAAAGAUCGCCAACUGCAUCUCUGGUGGAUAAAUCUUGCAUAUAUGGUAGAGAGGGUGAGAAAGAAGAAAUAAUCAACCAUUUGCUUUCAUACAAAGACAACGACAACCAAGUAUCAAUAAUCAGCAUAGUGGGUUUGGGUGGGAUGGGGAAGACCACCCUUGCUCAGCUUGUCUACAAUGACCAGAGGAUGGAGAAACAGUUUGACCUUAAAGCUUGGGUCCAUGUCUCAAAAUCAUUUGAUGCUGUUGGACUCACCAAAACAAUUCUUAGGUCAUUCCAUUCUUUUGCAGACGGUGAAGACUUGGAUCCACUCAUUUGUCAACUACAAAAGACACUAUCCGUCAAGAGAUUUCUGCUUGUUCUAGAUGAUGUGUGGAAAGGGAAUGAGGAGUGUUUGGAGCAAUUACUACUUUCUUUCAACCAUGGAUUUUUAGGAAGCAAGAUUAUUGUGACAACACGUGACAAAAACGUUGCAUUGGUCAUGAAAUCUGACCAUCAACUUCUUUUAAAGAAUUUGGAGGAGAAAGAUUGUUGGAGUUUAUUUGUGAAACAUGCUUUUCGAGGAAAAAAUGUGUUUGACUAUCCAAAUCUUGAAUCGAUUGGCAAGGAGAUUGUAGACAAAUGUGGAGGGUUGCCUUUAGCCGUGAAAACAUUGGGGAAUCUCUUGCAAAGAAAAUUUUCUCAGGGUGAAUGGUUUAAGAUAUUGGAAACUGAUAUGUGGCAUGUAUCGAAGGGCAAUGAUGAAAUUAACUCGGUAUUGAGAUUGAGUUAUCAUAAUCUCCCUUCCAAUCUAAAGCGUUGUUUUGCAUAUUGUUCCAUAUUUCCCAAGGGUUAUAAAUUUGAAAAAGAUGAAUUGAUCAACCUUUGGAUGGCUGAAGGUUUGCUGAAAUGUUGCGGAAGAGACAAAAGUGAACAAGAGUUGGGUAAUGAAUUCUUGGAUGAUCUAGAGUCCAUUUCAUUUUUCCAACAAUCAGAGUCGAUAUUUGGUCAUAUGGGAUUAUGCAUGCAUGAUCUUGUAAAUGAUUUAGCUAAAUCAGAGUCCCAAAAAUUUUGCUUACAAAUUGAGGGUGAUAGGGUGCAAGAUAUAUCUGAAAGGACACGUCAUAUUUGGUGCUCCCUUGGUUUGGAAGAUGGUGCUAGAAUAUUGAAGCACAUUUAUAUGAUUAAGGGAUUACGCAGCCUAUUGGUAGGACGACAUGACUUUUGCGAUUUCAAGGGUUAUGAAUUUGACAAUUGCUUCAUGAUGAGCAACAACGUGCAACGUGAUCUAUUUUCAAAACUGAAAUAUUUGCGGAUGUUGUCAUUCUAUGGUUGUGAACUCACAGAGUUAGCAGAUGAGAUAGUCAAUUUAAAGCUUUUGCGCUAUCUAGACCUGAGUUACAAUAAGAUUAAAAGGUUGACUAAUUCCAUAUGUAAGAUGUGUAAUUUAGAGACACUAACACUGGAAGGCUGUACUGAAUUGACCGAACUCCCUUCAGAUUUUUACAAACUCGACAGUUUACGUCAUCUUAAUAUGAAUAGCACUGAUAUUAAGAAGAUGCCAAAGAAGAUAGGGAAGCUAAACCAUCUUCAGACACUGACUAAUUUUGUAGUGGGAGAGAAGAAUGGGUCUGAUAUUAAGGAGUUGGAUAAUCUUAAUCAUCUUCAAGGAGGACUUCACAUUUCAGGGUUGGAACAUGUCAUUAAUCCCGCAGAUGCUGCAGAAGCAAAUUUGAAAGAUAAGAAACAUCUAAAAGAGUUAUAUAUGGAUUAUGGUGACAGUUUGAAAUUCAAUAACAAUGGAAGAGAAUUGGAUGUCUUUGAGGCUCUUCGACCAAAUAGCAACCUACAGAGGCUCACCAUCAAAUACUACAAUGGCAGCAGCUUUCCAAAUUGGCUAAGGUGUUCUCAUUUACCUAACUUAGUAUCUCUUAUCCUGCAGAAUUGUGGAUUUUGUUCCCUGUUUCCGCCACUUGGACAGCUCCCAUGUCUCAAGGAGCUUUUCAUUUCAGGUUGUAAUGGAAUAAAGAUCAUCGGUGAAGAGUUCUACGGCGAUUGUUCAACAUUAGUUCCGUUCAGGUCCCUUGAAUUUUUGGAAUUUGGGAAUAUGCCCGAAUGGAAGGAAUGGUUUUAACUUGAACGGUUUCCCUUGCUCAAAGAGCUUUAUAUAGACCAUUGUCCCAAAUUGAAAAGGUUCCUGCCUCAAAACCUUCUUUCUUUGCAAAGUUUGAGAAUCCAAGAUUGCGAACAGUUGGAGGUAUCAAUUUCCAAGGUGGAUAAUAUCAGAAUUUUGAAUCUACGGGAAUGUUAUAGAAUUUUUGUAAAUGAAUUGCCAUCCAGCUUGGAAAGGUUUAUCCUUCAUAAAAAUCGGUACAUUGAGUUCUCUGUGGAGCAGAAUUUACUCAGUAAUGGCAUUCUUGAAGAAUUAGAGUUGGACUUUAGUGGUUUCAUAGAGUGUCCCUCUUUGGAUUUGCGUUGCUAUAAUUCUCUUCGCAUACUUUAUUUAAAAGGUUGGCAAUCCUCCUUGUUGCCUUUUUCACUACACUUGUUCACCAAUCUUGAUUCUCUCAAGCUGAGAGAUUGUCCAGAGCUAGAAUCAUUUCCUGAGGGAGGUUUGCCUUCCAACUUGAGAAAACUUGAAAUAAAUAAUUGCCCAAAGUUAAUUGCUUCGAGAGAGGACUGGGAUUUGUUCCAACUAAAUUCCUUGAAAUAUUUCAUUGUUUGUGAUGACUUUAAAACCAUGGAGUCGUUCCCAGAGGAGAGUCUGCUGCCACCAACUCUUCACACCCUUUUUUUGGAUAAAUGUUCAAAGCUAAGAAUAAUGAACUACAAGGGUCUUCUCCACCUCAAAUCUCUUAAAGUUCUAUAUAUUGGAAGAUGCCCUAGUCUUGAGCGCUUGCCAGAGGAAGGUAUACCGAACUCCCUUUCUAGGUUGGUUAUUAGCGAUUGUCCAUUACUGGAGCAGCAGUACCGAAAGGAGGGAGGAGAUCGUUGGCAUACAAUUCGUCAAAUCCCUGACAUUGAAAUUUUUCCAACAGUGUCCUCAUAGCAUAUUCUCGUGCUACCAGAUUCUCGUGUGUUUUCACAUGCAACAGUUCUUCAAUGUAUCAAUAACCAGAAGCAUAACUAAGACUGGGCUUUCACAAUGACUCAUACACUAAGGGAAGGCAUUUCUUGCACAAAUUUCAAGUCUCAAGAAGCGAAGAUGAAAUUUUUGGUGUCUCCCGCCCUAAAUGGUAUCUGUGGCAAUAUUUUGCUGAAUUUCAUUGGUGUUUUGUUUUCUAAGCCAUAGUUUAUGUUUUUCUUGUUUCUCUUUUAUUUUCCACACUGCACAGCUCUCUCCUGAUCAUCAUCAUCAUCAUCAUCAUCAUAAGUUCAAGUUCUCUAAUUUCAGCGCUUCAUUAACAGAAUUUAUUUAAAACAUUUAAUGCCAUUCUUUAUUUUCAAAUUCUAUUAGUACCUAUUUAUACAAAAAAAAAAAAAAAAAAAAAAAAGGUGUCAUCUUGGUAUUUUAACAGAAUAAAUUGUCCCGGACAUUCAUGCUUGUCAAUGUUCAUAUGUUAAUUAGUCUAGAAGCAUGCUUAUUUAUGAGAACCUUAAAAAAAAAACAUACUAGAAGUAUUUAUGACUGUCUUCUGAAUACAAUGAUGUUUUUUAGGCUUGAGAAGAAAUCUGGAGAAGGCCAUACUUUGCACAAAAUUGCCAUCAUGAGAAGAAAUCCAACAAUUUUGCAAGAAGUCUGCAACAUUCCUCAAAUGUUGGUUCGAGAAAGAGUAAUGUAAUGGAAUCGAGGAAUGUGUUAGAGAAAGAGUCAUAGCUUUGUAGAGAGAUAUGCAUUGUGUGAUGUUGGCUCGGGCAUCCUCUUCAACCUCUGAGUCGUUUCUCAGAAGUUUCAUUUUAUUUUCAGUCUCUUUUUAGCUUAUUGUUUGUGUAUUCCUUCAUAGUUCAUGCACAUUGUGUAUUCCUUCGUAGGAACACUACUUUUCAUUGCGAUAUAUACUUCUAAUUGGAUUCAAAAUGGUUGCUUGCUGUUGGUAAUCUUCGAUUACUGUUUCUCAGUUUGUGAAUAGGUCUAUCUAUCUGCAUCACUACUAUCUCUAUUGAGAAAUUGUGCUUUUUAUUGGAAAAUAAUUUUCUGGUGGCACAGUCAUUUUUGUCCUUCUGGGAAAGUAUUUUGAAAAUUGAAUAAUGAUGUGAGGGAAUAUUGAGAGCCAAAUGUAAGUAAAUCAAGAAAUAGCUAAUCAAGAAAUAUCUUCAUGCCUAAUAGUUAUGUAUGAUUGAUAAUAAUAAUAAUCCUACUACUGAACCAAAUCAACCACAUGCUACUUCUAUAUUCUUCAAUUGACUCGGAUCGGAAUUAUUUCAGGAAGAAUGAACUUUUAUAGAUAUGAUCAUAUACCGUACACUUCUAUGUGUCUUGAAGAGUCAACUACGUAACAAAAUCUCUCAAAACAAAAAACAAAACUACGUAUCAAAAUGAACAUGAGAGGACGGUCAAAGGCAUGCGAGCAUUCUGCAAAUGGUAAAAGAAAAGAAAAGAAACAAUCUCUCGUGAAGCCCACAUGCAAAUGCAUGCGCAAAUUGCAUUCAUACCAUAUCAUUUAGAUAGGUUUGGUUUCUAUUUUGGAUGCUUUAAAAUUGAUUUAUUCAUUUUGACAUGUUUAUAUUUGUUCAAGUAUAAUUGAUUUUGAAUGUAAAAGAAAAAGUAUAAUUGGUUUUGGAUUUAAAAUUCAUUUUAUACAUUUUAACUCUAAACUUUGAGUUUUACACCCACAAUUAUUAUUCAAUUUAUUAUGGAGAGAGAGAUAUAUAUAGAGAGAGAGAGAGCCUACAAAAGUAAGGAAAAUAGGUCAUAGUGAUUCACAUACUUGAAACAUAACCAUAUAAUAGUUACUAGCAAACAACUUAACAAGUAUCUUUAAUAAAUAUGUGAAAUCAAGUAAAUUUGACCUUUGUUAUUAUGGCAAGUGAUUAGUUCUUAAGGAAUUAGGGGAGUGUCAAUGUGGUACUGAGAUGUUGUUGGAUUUCAAAUGUAAGUGAUUAGCAUUACUUCGAUUAUAAAUGAGUUAAAUCUUGAAUAUAUAAGAGAGGUGAUUUAUAUCAAAUUUGAUAUCAAGCUCUAUUUUGGUCCUAAAUAAAUGAUCAUUUGUUGCUUCUGACAUUCCUUCGGUUUCCCCAAACAAAUGAUAUCAUAGUCUUUAGAGGGAGCGGUAGCGGAUUAAUGUAUUAGUUCAUUAUUUCCAAAGUCUUCCCAACAAUUUAAAGAGGAGAUGUGUUAUCUUGGUAAUAACAGUGGUGCAAGUGCAUGUUAUGGACAAUUUUCAUUUAGGGGAAGAAUUAUUGACUUCAAGUGUGAGUGGUUAUUUCGACGUCGAUUAUAUAUGGAUGAGCUAAAUAUUAAAUAUAAAAGAGAUAUAACUCAUAUUUGUAAUGCUUAAGAUUUAGGAUAAAGACGUAAUGUCCCAAUUUCUAAAUGAUCUUGGAGCGCAUUAGUCUCUUUGAGCGACGGUUUCUCAUUCGAUUCUAGGACUAUCUUAAAGGAAAAUUUCUCAUCUCACUUCUGAAAUUGCUCAAAAACUACACGAGCGGUAACGGCGGUCAGCUUUUUUAGCGAAAAACUUUAAAAAUCGGUUCAAUCAUUUUUUAAAACGAUUUUUCUGAUCAUAAAAGUCACCAACGACAGUUACCUGCCGCUGGAAAAGUCGAGUGGUAGUUAAUUCUUGCUAGUAUAGUUUUUGAGCAAUUUGAGAAGUGAGAUGAGUAAAAUCCAUCCUAAUCGUCCCUAAAGGUAAAGCCAAGGCAAGACAUGUAGGUUGAUAGUGGUAUCUAUAGGUGUGAGAAGCAGCAUGAUCCUAGCCACAAAACCGCACAAAUUUAUACACUUAUGUAUCAGCUUGUCAAAUGAUUGUGAUAAGAUAUAAACCAGAUUUUAUUCCAACAAGAAUGUCCCUAGAACGUUCAUUGCUCGCUAUACUUUCAACCCAAAAAUUAGAUAUAAAUAGAACUCAAAUCAAUCUCUUUCUCUUGUUAAAAAUAAAAUACAAUUAAUCUCUCUACUUAUGACAUUUGAUUAUGAUUUUUUUUCUUUUAAAUUCUCUCUUUUUAAUUUAAGAAAAAAUCUCAUUUAUUUAUUAGUGAGUAUUUCUCAAAACUCUAAAAAAAAUCAUUUUAAAUUAUUAUUUAAUAUGUUUAUUUUGUCAAUAUAUAGAAAUUGAAACAGAAAACACAGUAAGUAAACGACACUAAGCUAAAUACGUAUAUGAUUUUUUUUUUUUAUCAAGUAGUUUAGUAGUCGAAGCUCAUACAAUUUAAACGUAGAGUGUACGGGGUUCGAACCCCGGCCGAUGCAUAUAUUAUAUAAUGUUCUUACCAAAGUUAAGUUCACGGGGACAUAUAUGAUUUCUUUCAAUCAUGUAUUUUAAGACUAUAUUAUAUAUGUUUUUUUAAUGACUAGAUUAUAUUUUAUAUAUUGAAAACAGAAUAGUGUGGUGUGGAAACGACCAAAGAUAUCAUGCGUGGAUAUAUUCGGUGUAUACAAAGUACAAACUACACUACACGACUUAAAAUUACGGCUAUCAUAUGCACUAAUUUCUUACUUAUAGAAAACCGUUGAAACAAUAAAAACCAGGGCAAGAGACCAUAAAAAUUGAAAUUUUUGUCCUUGACUAGAUCAUGUGAAGCAUUUUUGUUCCAAGUUCAAAAUGUCUAAAAUGUUAAAAUAUCCUUUUAUUUUCUACUCAAGAAAAAAUCACACAAUUUAAAAAGAGGCUUGAUUAAAUAUGAAAAUUAAGAAGUCUCCCAUAAAUGGAAACAAAUGACAUUAAGGUUUCUAUGAAAAGAACACAUUUGCAUGUAGUCCAUUAAUUUCUUCUAUAAAUAAAUAGUUUUUAAAUAAUGAAAAAAAAUCUUAGAAUCUUUUAAAUAGUGCUAGAAGCAAAAAAAUCACGUCCUCGUGAGCUUAACUCAAUUGGUAUGGACAAUGUAUAAAAUAUGCAAGGUGUAAGGUUCAAACCCCGACCACCACCAAAAAAAGAAGCAAAAAAACCCACAUAUAUCCUAUUUAUUUAUAUCAGGUUUGUAUAUAGAAGAUGAUUUUUGUAACACAAAGAAUUGAAUUGUCUUCUUGACUAAUUUUACAAUUUUAUGUGUGAAAUGAGCAAAUGAUUCACUUAAUUUGAAACGGAGGGAGUAACGAUAUAAAGUGACGAGAAUUUUCAUGUCUCCGAAUAUGUAGUCAGGUGCUGAGAACAUAUUUGCAUGUAGUCCAUUAAUUUUUAUGACUCGACAUUGAAAGUAAAAUUGUGAAUAUCGGCGGCUCAAAAUACCAUAAUGAGAUAUGCUACCAACACUCUCUUUUGAACACUCUCUCUAAUACUCACUCUCUUAUUGGUUUAAAUUAUUGUGGGUCCAUAUUUUGAAAAUUGAACCUACACAAAGUAGUGAGACAUACAUUGAAUCCACCAAAAAAAAAAAAAGUGAGUGCAAGAAAGAGUGUUGAAAAGUGAGUGUUGCUACCAUUCCUCAACCAUAAUAUACAUGGUGUAUUGUUUCAAAAUGAGAAGGUAUAUAUAGGCGGGUUAAACCGCCGUAAUGUACCGUAUUUAGUGGUGUCCAUAAAAAGUGACGUAAUGUACCGUUUAUAGUGGCAUUUUUUAGAAACCGCCGUAAUUCUCGUAAUUUUCGGUAGUAUAGAAUAUGGAUUCGAAUUCAGCUGGUGAUGUGAAAAUCUCAUUAAUAGAUAAUAUUUAAGUACAUUUGUCGGUAUUCUUUGCCUUGAAACUUUUUUGGAGUCUAAAGACCCAAUUCUCUUAAACUUUUUCUUAUAAAAAAAGACCUACUCCCUCCGUUUUUAAAUAUAAGCAAAAUUGACAUUUUAGGUUCAUUCAUUUAAUGAUGUAUAUGAUUCAUAAUAUGUACCACAUACAUCAUUAAGUGAAUGAACCUAAAAAGUCAAUUUGGUUAUAUUUAAAAAUGGAGGGAGUAACUAGUAUAAGUACGGGCACUAAUACCCCAAUAUCAUUCAUAUUCAUGUCAACAACGUAGAGAGUAGAAGAGAAAAUCAAAUCUAAAAGUGGAUCCAAGAAGGUAUGGAAAGUUGCCACUAUCUUCACAAACAUCAGAGGCUAAAGAGAAAGAGGAGUAUGCAUUAGUAAAUAAUGAGUUUGAUGCUUAUAAUUAUUAUGCAUCUAAUUCUAAUUGGUGUCCAGACACUGAUUUGUCUACCAUGGUUUCUGCUCUCUCUCAAGUCAUUGGAACAUCAUCUACCAAUCAUAAUAACCCACACAUGGCACAAUCAACCUCAACUACUAUGGUCAAUGAAGAUUCUCAACAACCUCAACCUCUUAUAGAUCAAGGUUUGUUUCUAAAAUUGUAUGUUUGUUUCUUGUGUUCGUCUAAAUUUAGCAUAUGUUUAGACUUUAGUUAAUUUUCUAAAUGGGACAACUUUAUGCUAUUGUUGGAGCUUGUCCAUUUUUGGGGAAAAAUUGGAACAACUUUUUUUAACCUAAUUUCCCAAAAAAAAUUUGGUAUGAACCCUUUAAAAAUAGUCAUGAUAAUCUGGAAUUUAGUCAUGAG
rnacentral:lncRNA from 1 species